AAGGGUUGCUAGUGUGCCCUAGGGUUUGAUUUUUCCAUGUGUUGGAGUUAAAAAUCAAAUUCUAAAUUGUAAGACAUCUAAAGAGUAUCUUCUUGGUAUCGUUCUGAUGGCAAGAUCGAAAGCAACUAGGCUUUGAUGCGAUCGUACCAUAAGUUCGAAGCCGAUAAUGUUCUUAUGAAGACAAGACUAUGGCAGCACACC
rnacentral:lncRNA from 1 species